rnacentral:lncRNA from 1 species
CUCAAGUCCCUCUUCAACUUCUAGCACUAGCAAGGCUUGGAGAGUAGCUUCUGUGGAUAAUUUCCUGCUGGAUAAAGCAGUUCCUACACAAGAAAAGUACACCCAAGUAGAUCGAAGUGGAAGGACAAAUAUUAUGCUAGAAAUUAACGAGUGAGGCAAACCAAAAGGAGACACAAGGAUUUGUUUCUCUAAAGUUCAAAUUCAUCCCUGUGAAUCCUACGUCUCCGUUGAGGUGCCUACUGGAAUACGAGUCUAUUUCAACUCUCUUCCAACAAGCCGGCUCUUUUUCGACCACUUCC